AACUUCAGGACACUUGGGAGGGGUGCCUUGCUUCCCUUUGGCGGGGGCACCCCUCCUGGUGGUACCUCUCCGCUCUGUUUCAGUGUGUGUGUGCUAUCGCGUCAAGGAGACCAACUGUAGGCUUCUGGAGAAACUUGGAAAGAGAAGUUCAGCACAGCCAGUGACUGAAGUCCCAAGGACGUGGCAGAAAAUCAAGAAAUAAAAAAGCUGGAGAGACACUAAGAGAACACUGGAUGUUAAUUAUACUGGCAUUUCUUUUUUAAAGGCUGGAGAAACUUUGGAUGCGAUUAUAAAGUAAGUAGACUAAUUUUACAAAGAUAUAGAUGCAAACUAAUGCAUAAGAAAUGAGGGAGACUAUAGUUAUCCUGGUAAUAUUAUUGGAUGUCUCAAAUGCAGCUCAAUGAUCAUGAUUUUUAAAGUCUCGCAUUAAAUUUUAGUCACAUGCCUCAUUCUUGAUCAAAAUGUCUAUCAGCAAAUUUGAGUCCCCUCCCCAUUCAUCUGCAUAAUCUCUAACUUUGACUUUUCACAGUCAAAACCAAAAAUAAAUCUUCCUUCAAAGGACGAUCCCAGGUGCCAGCACGACUCUUGAGAGUAUUUCAGAGCUUCCUCAAUUUCAACCAAAGUCCAAAGAUUCCCUGUAAACAGAGGUACUAUGUAUUUUGAAUUCUUACUUUUGACAAUUUUCCACGGGAAUCUCAUGUUUCUACACACCUUGUGAGAAGAGGCACAGAGCUUUCUUGUUCCAGACUAUCUUUUUAUGUAGGAAACAACCUUGGAAGAGAGAGUUUUCCCCUCUUGGACAGCCUUGCUUGCAUGCCCUUUAAAAG
rnacentral:lncRNA from 1 species